GAAGGUCAGGCUGAAGACCUUACCCGAUUAGCUGAGAGGUGGUGCAUGGCCGUCGUCAGUUCGUACUGUGAAGCAUCCUGUUAAGUCAGGCAACGAGCGAGACCCACGUCCACAGUUGCCAGCAUACCCCUCCGGGGUGAUGGGUACACUGUGGAGACCGCCGCUGCUAAAGCGGAGGAAGGAGUGGGCAACGGUAGGUCAGUAUGCCCCGAAUCUCCCGGGCUACACGCGGGCUACAAUGGUUGGUACAAUGGGCAUCUACCCCGAAAGGGGAAGGAAAUCUCUUAAAGCCAAUCGUAGUUCGGAUUGAGGGCUGCAACUCGCCCUCAUGAAGCUGGAAUCCGUAGUAAUCGCGUUUCAACAGAACGCGGUGAAUACGUCCCUGCUCCUU
rnacentral:rRNA from 1 species